GAACUUGGGACUCGACCUGAUGUGGAAGAAGACCUUCUUGUACCUGCUGCUGAUGAUGAUGGUAAGGAGGAUGAAGGAGAAGAUCCCGAAGAAGAAGAUGAUGAAGUAGAUGCUGAGGAGGAGGAAGAAGAUGUCAAUCUUCCAAGUUCAUGUCUUGGAUCCAUGAUGCCACAUCGUUCUCUUUUCCCUCCCCUCAGGUCUGAUUUGUUAGCUGAUCAUGAAUUAUCUCCAUGAAUUCUCUCUCUGUGGGAGGUUUCGGAUGCGAUAACAAGCUCCAGGUUGCAGGAACCAGACCAGAGUUACCAUGUCCAUGUGUGGACUCAGCUGGGCUACAUGUGGACCUGUUCUUAAAGGAACUUGGGGUAUCGGAGGUCUCUGGGAUCCAAACACAUGUCCGAGCUUUAAACCUUCUCAAGGGAGUAACAACAUAGAUGUUUUCCAUACGCCUGCAAGUCUAAAAUCUGUCAUUUGCCAUUAAUGUACAGAAACAACUAUAUUUUGAAGUAGUUUGAAGUAGAGCUUGCAUUCCAAUAAGGUUGGGUUUGACAUAAAAUUGUGUUCUCUUAACAUUUUCCUCAUAACUCUUUUAUGUUUAUCUUGAACCUGUUUGGUGGUACUCCUCAUAAAAUUUUUGUGCAUCAGUAAUAGGCUGGGGAAAGUAUUGGGCCUACCUGGAGAGGAUCUGUUGAAGGGCUCGACAGCAAAACCAUCCAGUUUAACCCACUCUCCC